ACCAAUGGCGACAGUACGUUGAAUGUACUAGUUUCCAACGGAUCACUGAAGUUAAGCAACGUUGCGCUUGGUUAUUGUCUGGAUGGUGACCACCUGGGGAAUCGCUUGCUGCUGGGU
rnacentral:rRNA from 1 species